UCACCCCUCAAGCCCUCCGGCUUGGAGUUGGACGGUUUUGGUCAGGGACCUUCUCCUCGACCCCUCCUAAAGACAAUGACGGCGGCCUCGUGCGACCCCCGGUACACUGAGCUUUCCAUCGUGGAGCACGUAUCGGAUCAAGGGUUAACGGGACACGGUCUUAACUUUAAUGUUUUUUAACAA
rnacentral:misc_RNA from 1 species